UUGAACUAGUCCAUCGUUCUUUUCUUAAACCAACUCCAUCAUACAAAUGCAUAAAAUAAUACAGAAAGUUCCAUUAUUCAUUUGAGAAGAGAAUAAAAUGAAAAUCAAUAUGAUCCUAUAGUGGUGUCGAUUGGUCCAUUUCACCACGAAAAAACUAAUCUUAAAUUUUUUUAAAAUUUCAAACUUACGGAUUUGAAAUUAUUCAUUUCCUAAAGUAGUUUAGAAGAGGAAUAUUUGUUCGACAACAUUCUAGCAGUAGUGAAAGAAGCCAGAAAAUACUACCUUGAUAUGGAAACCGAACGGUUUAGUGACAAUGAAUUUGCCUCAAUGAUGCUUUUGGAUGCAUGCUUUAUUAUGAACCAUAUGGAAAUAACCUUGAGGGACGACUCAGAAAAGGACUUUGCUACAAAAGAGCAGUUAGGAUUAUUUAUGGUGUCACAAACAAGUCGGGAUUUGGUUUUGAUGGAAAAUCAAAUCUUGAACUUCAUACUCCAGAUAAUGGUUAAACUAAGGGAUGAAGAAUAACAACAAAAUUUAAUGCCUUCCAAUUUUGAUGAUUAUUUAUUCUUUUCGGAACUAAGGCACCAUGGAGAUCCGAAAAUGUACAAUGAAUAACCAUUGCAUUUUGUCAAAUUAUUGCGCAUGUUAUUUGUCAACUGGCAAUUUAAUGGGGAUUUUCAUAUUCCAUUUGGAACCAAAAAUACUAACAGAAUACCUUUGGAGUCAAUUCAAUCGACUACGGCGUUGAGCAGUAAGGCUAUUUAUGUUCGCCCAAGCUCUCGUCAUGUUCCAAUGGACGUGUACAUCGAAAAACAUAGCCAUCUGCUUUACCUGCUUUACCCGCUUGCUUCACGACCAGAUUUGUCGUAUCUUAUUUUUUUAAUUAAAUUUUUGGUCCCAUCUGGACCAUUUUAUUUAUGUUGCUAAAAUCAAAGCAUAUCCACAAUUAUACAUUAAUCGGACGGUCCCAACAAAUGACCAGAUCCACUUGAAAAUAAGAUGUAAAGUUUCUUAAAACAUACAAAGCAUCCAUCCAUUUAAGCAAGAGUAGCAAGUACUUUUAUUCCUCAUCUGCCGCAUACUUUACUGUUCCAUUAUUACUGCUUCCUUUGCUGCUUGACUAUCUUGCGUGUUCUGAUUCAGAGAUUAUGGAUUUGAGUCUUAUCCAUUAAAAGUCAAGAUGAAAGGAAACCAACAACAAUGGGUAAAAGACUUGAUUUCUGAGUAAGUAGAAAUGAAAGUAUAGCUGACGACUUGUCUGAUAAGUCGUCAGCAUUGUGAUAAGCUAUCAGAGUUGCCGUCAGCCUUAGAAAGAGAAUGAAAUUUAGCUGGAAGAUAUAACGACAACCUAUGAUAAGCCAUUAGAUGUGUGAUAAGCCAUCAGGCUCAUCGUUAAGCUUAGACAGAGAAUGGGAUUUGAAGUAAAGACGCGACAACAAUUCUGAUAAGUCAUCACAAAUCUGAUAAGCCAUCAGGAUUCAUCGUCAUCUUAAGACAGAAAUUGUUCAAAUGUGAAGAGGAUUUGAUGACAUUCCUGAUAAGGCAUUAGACUUCUGAUAAGCCAUCACACACAUCAUCGUCUGUCUAAAAAAAAUACUGUGAUCUGUGAUUUUGUUUCCAUAAUUAGGCUAAAGUGUUUUUAGCAUAUGUUAGGAUUUUCUAAGGAUAUCUUGACCUAUCUAAAACUUCACGUACUUGGUGAAUUUCUCUUUAGUUUUAUGAGUUUAACAACAGAGUUAUUUUUGGAGAGAUUGUAACCAUUGUUUUGGGAUUUUCUACUGUGAUCUACUUAGAGAAAUACUUAUUGUUAUUCA